rnacentral:lncRNA from 1 species
GUUUCAUGAUAGCAUCUUGAAGCAUGCCUUCUCAGUAAAGCAGAAAUACUUUGGCAUCACAAGUCUCUAGCUAUCAUGAUGGAGGAAACUAUCGUAAUGGGAAAUGUGGUUGGUGUUAGUAGGAAAAAUAUGAUGGUCCUUAAGUUUUACUCUAAGAGAAGAUGAUUAAAGUAUGUAUUGAUGAGAUCUCGUACUCAAGUUCUCCUUUCUUUGUCUUCUUCUCACUUCUGGUGAAUAUGGCACGAUGCUAGAGGCAAAUCAUGCAGCCACAUGUGACAACGUCAUCCUUACUUCAAGCAGUUGCCCAUGUUGCCUAUAAUUUAUGCAUGCAAUGGAGUAUAGAAAAUGAUCUUCCAAAUAUACUGAAGAUUCUUGAACGUUAGACUAACCUACAAGCUAUUGUUGCUUGUAAUGAACAUCCAAGAUUUCUUGUAAAAGAGAACAUCAAUAUUUCUUUUGGGGGGACAGAGGGAGAGAGAGAAGGGAGAGAUGAAUACUUUCUUACGCUUCUGAUCCACUUUGAUAUAAACUCAUCUGUGGACCUAGGAUUACAGUCUUUAACUUUUGGGCAUGGCAGCUCCAUGUGAAAUCAAAGUUUGCAAGAGCUAGUUCAGUAGAGAGAUAUGAGUUCAACUUUAUGUUGAUCAAUGCUGCACGACGAUCGGUGUAUAAAUUUUGCUAAAUCAUCAAAACUUCUCUAAUUAAUUUCAUAUUUUUCUAGAGCAAUAUGUUUUCCAAUUUAUCCCAACUUUAUGAUAACUAAAUUCUUGUAAGAUAUUUGAAGGCCAUUUUGGUUCAUAACUUACAUAUUCAUUUGGGCAAGGGCAUCAUCACCAAGCUAUUGCCCACUCCACUUGUGGCUAAUAACAAACCAUCUAUUCCUUACACGCAAUGCAUCUUGGUGAAGCCAAAUAAAUAUAAAUUUAUAUUAUAUCAUAUAUCUUUUAAAGAUAUUAACAGG